AGAGGAAGUAAAAGUCGUAACAAGGUUUCCGUAGGUGAACCUGCGGAAGGAUCAUUAUCGAGUUUUUUGAACGGGUUGUCGCUGGCCUUUCACGAGGCAUUGUGCACGCCUGGCUCAUCCACUCUUCAACCUCUGUGCACUUACAGUAAGAAAUGGUCGAUGUCGACUUUAAUUAGUCGGUUUGAAGCCUUUCUUAUGUUUUAUUACAAACGUUUCAGUUAUAGAAUGUUUACUGUGUAUAACACAAUAUAUACAACUUUCAGCAACGGAUCUCUUGGCUCUCGCAUCGAUGAAGAACGCAGCGAAAUGCGAUAAGUAAUGUGAAUUGCAGAAUUCAGUGAAUCAUCGAAUCUUUGAACGCACCUUGCGCUCCUUGGUAUUCCUCGGAGCAUGCCUGUUUGAGUGUCAUGGAAUUCUCAAUCCCUAGAUUUUGUAACGAAGUCUAGUGGACUUGGACUUGGAGGUUGUGUCGGCUCUAGUCAGCCGACUCCUCUUAAAUGCAUUAGCGUGAAUGUUACGGAUCGCCUUCAGUGUGAUAAUUAUCUGCGCUGUGGUGUUGAAGUAUUUUGUAUUCGUGCUUAUAAUCGUCUCUUUGAGACAAUUACUUGACAAUCUGACCUCAAAUCAGGUAGGACUACCCGCUGAACUUAAGCAUAUC
rnacentral:rRNA from 1 species